GGCUUCUGGCUUAGAGGUAGAGUGUUUGCCUAGCAUGUAUGGGGCACUGGGUUCAAUCCUCAGCACCA
rnacentral:tRNA from 1 species